GUGUUCUGUUUCUUCCUCCUCCAUUAUUACUUUGGAUGUCUGGCCGAGGGGCUCCCGCCGACGGGCCGCGUCGUCGCCGGUGGUGCCGAAACCAUCGAACCUUGCCUUUCAUGCUUCCCGUGGAUAGUAGUAAGUAGCGUAUAUAUUGCUUGCUUGACAUGGCUAUAAUAUUCUACAAUCGCGUGUUAUAUGUGUGAUGCCAAGAAGUUUCAUCAUUACAAUAUUCUAUCCAGUCGUGUAGAUUCUUGAAACAUAUGUUCAGCCUAAAUAGCCUGUCGCUAGGUACAGAGGAACCAUAACAAGAGUGGGAGCCUGAGAAAGAUUUCAGGUGACCAGCGAUAAUUUAUCUUCAUUACUCUCAUGUGUACAAUUUCAUAGAAUUGCUUUAAUAUUUGUUGCAGUGUUAGAACGAAUUGGAGAUACGCAACGUAGAGUCAGUUGUUCUCAGAAGCUAUUUUUGGCAUGAGAGGGCUUCCACUGUUGUGUAUUUGUACCAUUCAAUUUGCAAACUUAUCAUUCUAUUUCAGAUUUUGCAGGCAACCUUGAGCUCGAUUAUCCACUGGGGAACCUUCAGGUAACCAUGAGGACAACGGAUAUUUGGCCACCCAUGUGAAAGUACAAUAUGGUCCUUUCCAGGUUCAUCCAAAAAGCGGAGAUUUUUCCAUUAAACUAGAUUUAAAGGUUAGUCAUUUAUAAGCGUUA